rnacentral:rRNA from 1 species
UACAGAGGUCUCAAGCGUUUGUUCGGAUUCAUUGGGCGUAAAGGGUGUGUAGGUGGCGCCGUAAGUCGGGUGUGAAAUUUCGGAGCUUAACUCCGAAACUGCAUUCGAUACUGCGGUGCUUUGAGGACUGGGAGAGGAGACUGGAAUUCAUGGUGUAGCAGUGAAAUGCGUAGAGAUCAUGAGGAAGACCAGUGGCGAAAGGCGGGUCUCUGGGACAGUUCCUGACACUGAGACGAAGGCCCAGGGGAGCAAACGGG